CUUAUGUUUCCAACCCAUUAGUUGAUUGAAGAUCUCAUAAUUCUGGUGUAAUCAAGUUCUCAGGUACUGAAAUUGAGACACCAGAUUCAGAAGAAAAUUUGACUGCCUGAAGAAACAGCGAAAUAACGGGACUCAGCACUGAACAUUGGGAAGUAGCACACAUCAUCUAGCCCAACUCUAGCACUCUAAGAACAAAUCUAACAGAUAUGCUAUCAAUGUUAUCUAGGCUAUUUUUACAUUUUGCUAUCUGAUUUGCUAAAAUAGCAAGUUGCUAUUUCUAAACUUUCGCUUGUCAUAUAUAGCAUGUCGUCCUCACUAGGUAUCUUAUGCUUUGAGUGCACAAUGACUAAAUCUAGUUUAAUGCCGUCAGAUUACAAGGGCAGAAGAGUGGCUUACUCGCGCAGGCGCGGCGAAGCUGAAGCGGCUAUGGAGGUCAUGUGGCCAACGGACUGCGGUGGACCGGCAUCUGCUUCGGCAGCGCGGCGCCGCGCGCACGGAUGCGG
rnacentral:lncRNA from 1 species